UGGGAAUAUUGGACAAUGGGGGAAACCCUGAUCCAGCAAUCCCGCGUGAGGGAUGAAGGCCCUCGGGUCGUAAACCUCUUUCAGCAGGAAAGAAUAAAAUGACGGUACCUGCAGAAGAAGCACCGGCUAACUCCGUGCCAGCAGCCGCGGUAAUACGGAGGGUGCAAGCGUUGUUCGGAAUCAUUGGGCGUAAAGAGCGUGUAGGCGGCCAAUUAAGUCUGAUGUGAAAGCCCGGGGCUUAACCCCGGAAGUGCAUUGGAUACUGGUUGGCUAGAGGACGAGAGGGGAAGGCGGAAUUCCUGGUGUAGGGGUGAAAUCCGUAGAUAUCAGGAGGAACACCGGAGGCGAAGGCGGCUUUCUGGCUCGUAACUGACGCUGAGACGCGAAAGCGUGGGGAGCAAAC
rnacentral:rRNA from 1 species